CGUGAACCCUAAUCCAAUCCCGAGCCCCCCAGCCGCAGAGUCCAAUCCCGAUCGAGCCGGUCGCACGAGCAGGCGCGGCCGAGCCACCACUGGAUUCAUCCUCCAUCGUUCACAGAUCAUUUUGCUCGAGGACGCCACCAGCGACGGGGAAGGAUGCCGCCACUGGAUCCACCACUCUACCUCUCCCCUGCUCCUAAUCCAAGGUUCCCCCAUGGAUUCAGCCCAAUUCUCUAAGCCUUCUUUUUUUGGCUUGCAGGUGAGCGCAAAUAGGAAGCGAAGAGCCUUCUCCUGCAGCGGCGGGGGCGAUUGGGAUGAAGCCGCCACCACCGUUCCCCCACUACUCUGGUUCCCCGACGACUUCGCAAGUCCGUGAUGAACAGGGAGAAGGUAUUCCAGUUUCAUGGUUCAAAGGACUGAUGUUUUCACUUUGUUGUUGCACAAAUGGUCUAUCUCUUAUAAAGUGAAAGCAAAUUUAGGUCCAAGAACCAAGCUUAUUUUGUAGCUACACUCAAUCAACUGAGCAGACUAGGAGAUACAAUUGGCAAGUCCUAGAGAAGGAGAAAGGGUUAUCGACCAUCUGCUGCAUCCACACUAUGCUUGAUUAUGGGUCUAUUACAAAUAUGGAUAAUUUUGCAAAGAAUCAAUAUGUGAAUUCGAAGUUAUGCAGUUAGGCUUAUGGGCUACCUUUUAGAUUAGGCUUUUGUGUAUAUAUUUACUACACACGCGGAUGCAAAAAGACCACCAUAGUAGAGAUCAUAAUGUAGUUUUCCGUAGUUACCUAGGAUCGGUUCAUGUACUUUAUGUUGUUGUUGAUACAUGGCAUGCUAGACUAGGGUAUUACUACUUAGUGUUUCUAUAUGUAAUGUACUAUCCAAAAUAUGAUGUAUGAUAUGUCAGAUCUUAACGUUGUUUC